rnacentral:rRNA from 1 species
AGUGAACGCUGGCGGUAGGCCUAACACAUGCAAGUCGAACGGCAGGACAGUAAGAGCUUGCUCUUACGGGUGGCGAGUGGCGGACGGGUGAGGAAUACAUCGGAAUCUACUUUUUCGUGGGGGAUAACGUAGGGAAACUUACGCUAAUACCGCAUACGACCUACGGGUGAAAGCAGGGGAUCUUCGGACCUUGCGCGAUUGAAUGAGCCGAUGUCGGAUUAGCUAGUUGGCGGGGUAAAGGCCCACCAAGGCGACGAUCCGUAGCUGGUCUGAGAGGAUGAUCAGCCACACUGGAACUGAGACACGGGCCAGACUCCUACGGGAGGCAGCAGUGGGGAAUAUUGGACAAAGGGCGCAAGCCUGAUCCAGCCAUACCGCGUGGGUGAAGAAGGCCUUCGGGUUGUAAAGCCCUUUUGUUGGGAAAGAAAAGCAGCAGGUUAAUACCCCGCUGUUCUGACGGUACCCAAAGAAUAAGCACCGGCUAACUUCGUG